rnacentral:rRNA from 1 species
CUGGCGGUCUUUGGCCGUCCGAGUUGUAAUUUAGAGAAGCGUCUUCCGCGCCGGACCGUGCACAAGUCUCCUGGAAUGGAGCGUCAUAGAGGGUGAGAAUCCCGUCUUUGGCACGGAUGCCUGGGGCUUCUGCGAUGCGCUCUCGAAGAGUCGAGUUGUUUGGGAAUGCAGCUCAAAAUGGGUGGUGAACUCCAUCUAAAGCUAAAUAUUGGCGAGAGACCGAUAGCGAACAAGUACCGUGAGGGAAAGAUGAAAAGCACUUUGGAAAGAGAGUGAAACAGUACGUGAAAUUGUUGAAAGGGAAACGCUUGAAGUCAGUCGCGUCGACCGAGACUCAGCCUUGCCUCGGCAUGGUGUACUUCUCGGCACGACGGGCCAGCAUCAAUUUUGUGCCUCGGAUAAUGGCAGAGGAAAGGUGGCACCUUUACGGGUGUGUUAUAGUCUCCUGUCGCAUGCGAGGGGUGGGAUUGAGGAACUCAGCGCGCACCUCAGUGUCGGGGCUUCGGCCCACGUCACGCGCUUAGGAUGCUGGCGUAAUGGCUUUAAACGACCCGUCUUGAAACACGGACCAAGGAGUCUAACUCACACGCGAGUGUUUGGGUGGAAAACCCCGUGCGCGUAAUUAAAGUGAAAGUUGGGACCUCUGUCGUGGAGGGGCACCGACGCCCGGACCAGACCUUCUGUGACGGAUCUGCGGUAGAGCGUGUGUGUUGGGACCCGAAAGAUGGUGAACUAUGCCUGAAUAGGGUGAAGCCAGAGG